rnacentral:rRNA from 1 species
UGGGGAAUAUUGCACAAUGGGCGAAAGCCUGAUGCAGCGACGCCGCGUGAGGGAUGACGGCCUUCGGGUUGUAAACCUCUUUCAGUUCCGAAGAAGCGAAAGUGACGGUAGGAGCAGAAGAAGCACCGGCUAACUACGUGCCAGCAGCCGCGGUAAUACGUAGGGUGCGAGCGUUGUCCGGAAUUAUUGGGCGUAAAGAGCUUGUAGGCGGUUUGUCGCGUCUGCUGUGAAAACUCAGGGCUUAACCCUGAGCCUGCAGUGGGUACGGGCAGACUAGAGUGUGGUAGGGGAGACUGGAAUUCCUGGUGUAGCGGUGGAAUGCGCAGAUAUCAGGAGGAACACCGAUGGCGAAGGCAGGUCUCUGGGCCACUACUGACGCUGAGAAGCGAAAGCAUGGGGAGCGAACA